rfam:Stegodyphus mimosarum contig98542, whole genome shotgun sequence.
GCCUUCGUGGUGUAGUGGUCUGCAUGUUCGACGCGUAACCAAGAGGUCCGUGGUUCGAUUCCCGGCGAAGGCG